CCUACGGGAGGCAGCAGUGGGGAAUUUUGCGCAAUGGGGGAAACCCUGACGCAGCAACGCCGCGUGGAGGAUGAAAUCCCUUGGGAUGUAAACUCCUUUCGAUUGGGAAGAUUAUGACGGUACCAAUAGAAGAAGCCCCGGCUAACUUCGUGCCAGCAGCCGCGGUAAU
rnacentral:rRNA from 1 species